AAGCUGCCCCAAAAAAAAAAUAAGCUCAGUGUGCCGAAAAGCCGAAAAAUCUGUGGUUCUCCAAAGAUAAACCCGGUUUCAAGCCCCAAACGGGGUCUGAGCUUUGCCAGUCGAUCUCGGUUUCUCCAGUGUAAUUUAAUAUUGACGAAAGUUAUCCAACGGAGGUCAAACUUCUGCCGCACAACGAAAAUUUGCGAUCAACCUUAUUUUUGACCUUGGCAGAGGACAUACAGUUGCCUCUGAAAUUCUAUGUCGUGGCCUGGAUAGGCACAGACAUAUCCAUAUCGGAUGUCUUCAAGGAAAAGGAUUGACACACACACACACACACUGAAUUCAACCGACACAUCAAUGCAUGCAGGCCUGUUGCAGCGAUGGAAAACCAAACUUGCUGUAACUGUAGAUAAAUAAGAUGUUAUGAAGAUUUGAGGUGAUGCUGAGGAUGGUUGUUAGUUGGAGUGGAGUUAAAAUAUGAAAAUACACUGAAGAUUGAUCAACAUGAAA